rnacentral:tRNA from 1 species
UUCCUGAUGGUCCAGUGGUUAGAACUCUGUGCUUUCACUGCUGAGGACCUGGGUUCAAUCCCUGGUCGGGAAA